AAAAUAAUGGAGGUUUAUGGUGGAGCAUGCUG
rnacentral:guide_RNA from 1 species